GGUGCACGUCGCGCUCCGCCUCUCUCCCUCUCUCCCCUGCUGAGCACAACACAUAACCUCUCUACAACAUCGGUCGCCUGCAUCGCUCUAUAGCCAGGCCGCUAACGUGUGGAGGAAGAUCGUGAGACUUGACUGAGGACACCACGAGCUCAGCACAGCAAUAUAAGACACAACACACGCUGCUCAGCACCAUGGCUGAGGGGUGAGCCUUUCACCUGCCCCUGGCUGCAUGUCCUCACCACGUCGUAUCUCCCUCGUGUGUCGUAGGGACACGCCACACCCCCCUAAUCUGACAUAGGGACACGCCACACCCCCCUAAUCUGACAUAGGGACACGCCACACCCCCCUAAUCUGACAAAGGGACACGCCAUUCGUCCCUCGCGCGAGUGUCCGUUUUCUAACUCGAAACAGAGAAAUGUUCGGCUCUUAAAAGUAAACAUAAAAUAAUUUUUCAGGCCAAGAAAACCACUUUAUAAAGCUGUAAAAAAGACUAGAAACACCUCGCAGUCCUGUUUAUAAUUACAGUAGCCACAGUGUGUGUGUGCUUUAGUGUGCUUGAGAGCUGCAGGACAAGUGUAAACAAGACAUCACCAGAGGACCCAGAGGUUGAAGCAGACCCCAGGAGCGGAGGAGCGGUGUGGUGGUGAGAUAUGAAGAUGGUGCAGACGGUGGUGGUGGUGGUGGUGUUUGGGGUGUUGAGUGUGGUGAUGGUGGCGCCCUCGGCCGCCCAGGGCAACACCCCGUCCAUCUCCCCGUCCGUUCUAUCCACGCUGCUGGACUCUCUGGCCACGGCCACAGAGACAGAGAAGUGUCCGGGCAAGUGUUUACACUCCCUGGCGGCCCAAGUCUGUCACGAGGUGGUCCAGGGCGCGGACCUCUGCCCUCCAGGCAAGGCGUGCUGCCGCCCCAGGAGU